GAUGAAGAACGCAGCAAAAUGCGAUACUUGGUGUGAAUUGCAGAAUCCCGUGAACCAUCGAGUUUUUGAACGCAAGUUGCGCCCGAAGCCUUUUGGCCGAGGGCACGUCUGCCUGGGCGUCACGCAUCGCGUCGCCCCCCACAAUUCUCCGUAAAGGGAACAUGUGUUUUGGGGGCGGAUAUUGGUCUCCCGUGCUCAUGGCGUGGUUGGCCGAAAUAGGAGUCCUUUCGAUGGACGCACGAACUUGUGGUGGUCGUAAAAACCCUCGUCUUUUGUUUCGUGCUGUUGCUCGCAAGGUAAACUCUUUAAAAACCCCAAUGUGUCGUCUCUUGACGACGCUUCGACCGCGACCCCAGGUCAGGCGGGACUACCCGCUGAGUUUAAGCAUAUCAAUAAGCGGAGGA
rnacentral:misc_RNA from 1 species